CGGGGCUCUGGCACAUUGUGACACGGAGCCCGGGCUGAGCACCUGCUCCCUGGUUCUCCACCUGCAGCCAGGAUCUGCCCCCGGCCCCGCUGGGAUCCAGGCCUUCCAUUCUCCUGUUAAAGAAGCACCCCCCAGGCUCCCUCUGCCUGUGUGACUGGCCAGCAGGAGAUGGUGUUAACUUUCUAGCCACUUCUCACACUCUGUGAGACAGGCUGCAGAAUGACGUCCAUGUUUUGCUCCAUCUCAUCCCAACCUGGCGUGGGACAGGGAAGAGAAAUGGCUACAGUGGAGUCAGUCCAGGUGGAGAUUAUCGGGGGGUUGCUGAGGCCGGUGACCUUCGAAGAGGUGGCUGUGUAUUUCACCAGGGAAGAGUGGGCUGUGCUGGACCCCGCUCAGAGAGCCCUCUACUGC